UACGGAGGGGACUAGCGUUGUUCGGAAUUACUGGGCGUAAAGCGCACGUAGGCGGAUUUGUAAGUCAGGGGUGAAAUCCCGGGGCUCAACCUCGGAACUGCCUUUGAUACUGCAAAUCUCGAGUCCGGAAGAGGUGAGUGGAAUUCCUAGUGUAGAGGUGAAAUUCGUAGAUAUCUGGAGGAACACCGGUGGCGAAGGCGGCAUCCUGGACCGAUAUUGACGCUGAUGCGCGAAAGCCAGGGGAGCAAACGGG
rnacentral:rRNA from 1 species